rnacentral:rRNA from 1 species
GAGACAGCAGUCGCCACGGUAAUACAGAGGAUGCAAGCGUUAUCCGGAAUGAUUGGGCGUAAAGCGCGCGCAGGUGGUUUAAUAAGUCUGAUGUGAAAGCCCACGGCUCAACCGUGGAGGGUCAUUGGAAACUGUUAAACUUGAGUGCAGGAGAGAAAAGUGGAAUUCCUAGUGUAGCGGUGAAAUGCGUAGAGAUUAGGAGGAACACCAGUGGCGAAGGCAGCUUCUUGGUCCAUUCCUGACGUUCAUACACGAAAGCGUGGGGAGCAAACAGGAUUAGAUACCCCAGUAGUCCCUGUCUCUUAUAC